rnacentral:rRNA from 1 species
GAUGAACGCUGGCGGCGUGCCUAAUACAUGCAAGUCGAACGCAUUGUGGUUGAAAUGAUAUGAAGAACUUGUUCAGAUUUGAUUUUCAACAUUGCAAUGAGUGGCGAACGGGUGAGUAACACGUGGGAAACCUACCUCUUAGCAGGGGAUAACAUUUGGAAACAAAUGCUAAUACCGUAUAAUAAUUAAAACCGCAUGGUUUUAGUUUAGAAGAUGGUCUUGCUAUCACUAAGAGAUGGUCCCGCGGUGUAUUAGUUAGUUGGUGAGGUAAUGGCUCACCAAGACAAUGAUACAUAGCCGAGUUGAGAGACUGACCGGCCACAAUGGGACUGAGACACGGCCCAUACUCCUACGGGAGCAGCAGUAGGGAAUCUUCCACAAUGGACGAAAGUCUGAUGGAGCAACGCCGCGUGUGUGAUGAAGGGAUUCGGCUCGUAAAACACUGUUGUAAGAGAAGAAUGACAUUGAGAGUAACUGUU